rnacentral:rRNA from 1 species
UGCACAGCAUAUCGACCCGCGAACACGUGAAAAACACCGAGGGAUGCGGGCUUGCUCGCGGCCCUCCUCGCGUCGANGCGCGCCUUUGGAAUCGACUUGUUGGUCCCGGGCGUGCGCGUCAAUGCCAAACGAACCCCGGCGCGAUCCGCGCCAAGGAAAACAUAACUCCAGAGCGUCUCUUCCUCCCGUCGCCCCGUUCGCGGUGUGCGCGCAGUUGGGCGGUCGCUUCUUAGUGAAAACACAAAUGACUCUCGGCAAUGGAUAUCUCGGCUCUCGCAUUGAUGAAAAACGUAGCGAAUUGUGAUACUUGGUGUGAAUUGCAAAAUCCCGUGAACCAUCGAGUCUUUGAACGCAAGUUUCNCCCAAAGCCAUUAGGCCGAGGGCACGUCUGNAUGGGCGUCACGCAUCGUGUGGCUGGUNGGGGGAGCGGAUACUGGCCUCNCGUGCCUCACGGNGCGGCUGGCUCAAAACGGAGUCCCCCGCGGAGGACGCACGACAAGUGGUGGUUGAUAUCAAGGCCCUCGCGUCCCGUCGUGCGCACGUCCUGCGCUGGAGUAGGCUCUCGUGACCCUGACGCGUCUCGUUCGCGAAGUCGCUCCGACC